GCCUCUUUCAUCUGUGUCCCUGAUCCCUCUCCAGCUGAUGUGAUUCUUUAGAAAUGAGAAAAUCGUUCAAGUCGCGGCUAUUUGUGUGUGAUCAGUAAAUAUUUAGUGUGGCGACAUCCUCAGCUCCUCUGCUGAUCAAUACGCAGCCCAACAGGAGGUGGACUAUUGUCCGGGUAGUGACUUGCUGAGAUCUCCUUUAGAUGAAUUCUUUGCCCCCAGUACCGUCUGUUAUGAUUUAUCCUCGAAGGUGACCAAUAAAGAAAACCUGAGUCUUUAAAAACC